AGUGAACGCUGGCGGUAGGCCUAACACAUGCAAGUCGAACGGCAGCACAGUAAGAGCUUGCUCUUACGGGUGGCGAGUGGCGGACGGGUGAGGAAUACAUCGGAAUCUACUUUUUCGUGGGGGAUAACGUAGGGAAACUUACGCUAAUACCGCAUACGACCUACGGGUGAAAGCAGGGGAUCUUCGGACCUUGCGCGAUUGAAUGAGCCGAUGUCGGAUUAGCUAGUUGGCGGGGUAAAGGCCCACCAAGGCGACGAUCCGUAGCUGGUCUGAGAGGAUGGUACCGCCAACUGGAACUGAGACACCGGUCAGACCCCCACGGGGGGGCAGAGGGGGGGAAUUUUGGAAAAGGGGCGCAACCCGAAGCAACCCAUCCGGGGGGGGGAAAAAGGGCCUUCGGUUUUUAAAGCCCUUUUUUUGGGAAAAAAAAGCAGGAGGUUAAUACCCCGCUUUUUGACGGUUACCAAAAAGAAAGGCACCGGCUACCUCGGG
rnacentral:rRNA from 1 species